AUGCGUGUUGCAGUUCAUACAGACGGACAUCAGCAGGUCCUGGGCCGGCCGGGUCAGCUGCGGGGCCGCGGAGGGAGCUGUGGGCUCACGGCCACCCGGCUGUGGGACCACACGGAGCCUGCCCCCACCCCUGCCGGGCACUCCUGCCCCACCACCCCCGCGACCCCGCCCCAGGCACCCCCGCACCUUGGGGUUCUGCAGCCACAUCUCCAGCUUCUGCACCGCCAGCAGCCGCACCUCCUUGUAGCCGCAGGUGGAGGCGGCCAUGAGGAGGUUACAGGCCAGCACGGACACCAGGCUGUUCCCCUUGGCCUUGAAGUUGAUGGAGGCGUCCCGCCGCAGGAGGCUGCACAGAGCCUGCCAGGGAGGGUGCAUGUCACGUGGGAGCCUCGCUGGCCCCAGAGGCAAAGCUGGGGUGGGCCAGGCAGGACACUGAAGGGGGAGGUGAGGAGGAAGCCGAGGGCCCCAGCCCUACUCGCCUCCCGCCAGGGGCCCGGCUCGCACCUCGGGAUGCCUGCGUGGCAAGAUGGGCUUGAUCUUGGCCAGGUACAUGAGGCUCAGGUAGAGGGUGCUGUCGGGCUUGGCGCGGGUGACCUUCAGCUGCUUCACGGCCCCGCACAGCACGCCCUCGAUCCUGUCGUCGUUGCCUUCCAGCUCGGCCGCCUCGAUCUCGUCCAGCAGCACCGUGGGCAGCACUGGCCGGGGCAGGUGGUACAGUCAGAGCAGGGACAGGGCAGGGUCGCCCCAAAGCCUUGGGACACCGGUAAGACCACGAGGAACCCGGAGCUCUCAGGGUCGGCGCUGCCAUGGACCAGCCAUCCACCCUCAGGAGAGUUCCCACAGGGGACAAGCACCCCACCAGAUGGUCCCCUCAACACAGCAGGCUGCCCCACAGGCCUCAGCACUGGCCCUCCAGACACUCCAGUCCUGGCUCCACUGUGUCCCACAUGGCUACCCCGAAGGCUACAGACAUUUCCCAGCAAGUCAGGCAACCUGCAGCCUUACUUUCCACUGAAUCGCGGCUCCACUGAAUACUUUCCACUGUGGACCACGGCACAGCAGCCCUCUCUUCGCACCUGCCCCGGCUCCAGUCUCCAGCAUGCUCUUCUCCCCUUCCCCCCCCUCUUUCCAUGGGUGCUCGACUCACAACCUUCCUCCAGACGAGUGCCUGACCCUCCCACAACCUCCGAGGAGUACCAGGGCCAGCACACACCUUUCCUCUCCUCAUGUCUGCCACUGUUGGAUCGGAGGUUUUCUCAUUUUCAUUCUGAUUCUUCUCUGACCCAGGAGUUUUUAGGACUGUGUUUUAAAUAUCCACACACAGCCGGGCAUGGUGGCUCGCGCCUGUAA
rnacentral:lncRNA from 1 species